rnacentral:rRNA from 1 species
UGGGGAAUUUUGGACAAUGGGCGCAAGCCUGAUCCAGCCAUGCCGCGUGUCUGAAGAAGGCCUUCGGGUUGUAAAGGACUUUUGUUAGGGAAGAAAAGGGAAGUGUUAAUACCACUUUUUGCUGACGGUACCUAAAGAAUAAGCACCGGCUAACUACGUGCCAGCAGCCGCGGUAAUACGUAGGGUGCGAGCGUUAAUCGGAAUUACUGGGCGUAAAGCGAGCGCAGACGGUUACUUAAGCAGGAUGUGAAAUCCCCGGGCUCAACCUGGGAACUGCGUUCUGAACUGGGUGACUAGAGUGUGUCAGAGGGAGGUAGAAUUCCACGUGUAGCAGUGAAAUGCGUAGAGAUGUGGAGGAAUACCGAUGGCGAAGGCAGCCUCCUGGGAUAACACUGACGUUCAUGCUCGAAAGCGUGGGUAGCAAACAGGAUUAGAUACCCUGGUAGUCCACGCCCUAAACGAUGUCAAUUAGCUGUUGGGCAACUUGAUUGCUUAGUAGCGUAGCUAACGCGUGAAAUUGACCGCCUGGGGAGUACGGUCGCAAGAUUUA